CCAAUAGCGUAUAUUAAAGUUGUUGCAGUUAAAAAGCUCGUAGUUGAAUUUCGGGGUCAGUAGGUCGGUCGUGCCACUGGUAUGAACUGGUCUCACUGAUUCCUCCCUCUUGUAGAACCGUGAUGCCAUUAAUUUGGUGUUGCGGGGAAACAGGACUGUUACUUUGAAAAAAUUAGAGUGUUUAAAGCAAGCUAACGCUUGAAUACAUUAGCAUGGAAUAAUGAAAUAGGACGUCGAUCUUAUUUUGUUGGUUUCUAGGGUUGACGUAAUGAUUAAUAGGGAUAGUUGGGGGCAUUAGUAUUCAAUUGUCAGAGGUGAAAUUCUUGGAUUUAUUGAAGACUAACUACUGCGAAAGCAUUUGCCAAGGAUGUUUUCAUUAAUCAAGAACGAAAGUUAGGGGAUCGAAGACGAUCAGAUACCGUCGUAGUCUUAACCAUAAACUAUGCCGACUAGGGAUCGGAUGAUGUUAAUUUUUUAAUGACUCAUUCGGCGCCUUACG
rnacentral:rRNA from 1 species